GGUAGAGCACAGAGAAUCACAAAUCUCAGAAAAGACAGUCUUCUACAUUUCAAGCUAGUACUCCCUUGCAUCCCUGGCAGAGCAUUCGACCAAACAGACGUCCACUCUCACAUGUGAACAUUCUUCUUUCUGAAGCAGUUUCUUCAGGUUAGUCAUCAGCUAUGCCCCGGUAGAGCACAGAGAAUCACAAAUCUCAGAAAAGACAGUCUUCUACAUUUCAAGCUAGUACUCCCUUGCAUCCCUGGCAGAGCAUUCGACCAAACAGACGUCCACUCUCACAUGUGAACAUUCUUCUUUCUGAAGCAGUUUCUUCAGGUUAGUCAUCAGCUAUGCCCCGGUAGAGCACAGAGAAUCACAAAUCUCAGAAAAGACAGUCUUCUACAUUUCAAGCUAGUACUCCCUUGCAUCCCUGGCAGAGCAUUCGACCAAACAGACGUCCACUCUCACAUGUGAACAUUCUUCUUUCUGAAGCAGUUUCUUCAGGUUAGUCAUCAGCUAUGCCCCGGUAGAGCACAGAGAAUCACAAAUCUCAGAAAAGACAGUCUUCUACAUUUCAAGCUAGUACUCCCUUGCAUCCCUGGCAGAGCAUUCGACCAAACAGACGUCCACUCUCACAUGUGAACAUUCUUCUUUCUGAAGCAGUUUCUUCAGGUUAGUCAUCAGCUAUGCCCCGGUAGAGCACAGAGAAUCACAAAUCUCAGAAAAGACAGUCUUCUACAUUUCAAGCUAGUACUCCCUUGCAUCCCUGGCAGAGCAUUCGACCAAACAGACGUCCACUCUCACAUGUGAACAUUCUUCUUUCUGAAGCAGUUUCUUCAGGUUAGUCAUCAGCUAUGCCCCGGUAGAGCACAGAGAAUCACAAAUCUCAGAAAAGACAGUCUUCUACAUUUCAAGCUAGUACUCCCUUGCAUCCCUGGCAGAGCAUUCGACCAAACAGACGUCCACUCUCACAUGUGAACAUUCUUCUUUCUGAAGCAGUUUCUUCAGGUUAGUCAUCAGCUAUGCCCCGGUAGAGCACAGAGAAUCACAAAUCUCAGAAAAGACAGUCUUCUACAUUUCAAGCUAGUACUCCCUUGCAUCCCUGGCAGAGCAUUCGACCAAACAGACGUCCACUCUCACAUGUGAACAUUCUUCUUUCUGAAGCAGUUUCUUCAGGUUAGUCAUCAGCUAUGCCCCGGUAGAGCACAGAGAAUCACAAAUCUCAGAAAAGACAGUCUUCUACAUUUCAAGCUAGUACUCCCUUGCAUCCCUGGCAGAGCAUUCGACCAAACAGACGUCCACUCUCACAUGUGAACAUUCUUCUUUCUGAAGCAGUUUCUUCAGGUUAGUCAUCAGCUAUGCCCCGGUAGAGCACAGAGAAUCACAAAUCUCAGAAAAGACAGUCUUCUACAUUUCAAGCUAGUACUCCCUUGCAUCCCUGGCAGAGCAUUCGACCAAACAGACGUCCACUCUCACAUGUGAACAUUCUUCUUUCUGAAGCAGUUUCUUCAGGUUAGUCAUCAGCUAUGCCCCGGUAGAGCACAGAGAAUCACAAAUCUCAGAAAAGACAGUCUUCUACAUUUCAAGCUAGUACUCCCUUGCAUCCCUGGCAGAGCAUUCGACCAAACAGACGUCCACUCUCACAUGUGAACAUUCUUCUUUCUGAAGCAGUUUCUUCAGGUUAGUCAUCAGCUAUGCCCCGGUAGAGCACAGAGAAUCACAAAUCUCAGAAAAGACAGUCUUCUACAUUUCAAGCUAGUACUCCCUUGCAUCCCUGGCAGAGCAUUCGACCAAACAGACGUCCACUCUCACAUGUGAACAUUCUUCUUUCUGAAGCAGUUUCUUCAGGUUAGUCAUCAGCUAUGCCCCGGUAGAGCACAGAGAAUCACAAAUCUCAGAAAAGACAGUCUUCUACAUUUCAAGCUAGUACUCCCUUGCAUCCCUGGCAGAGCAUUCGACCAAACAGACGUCCACUCUCACAUGUGAACAUUCUUCUUUCUGAAGCAGUUUCUUCAGGUUAGUCAUCAGCUAUGCCCCGGUAGAGCACAGAGAAUCACAAAUCUCAGAAAAGACAGUCUUCUACAUUUCAAGCUAGUACUCCCUUGCAUCCCUGGCAGAGCAUUCGACCAAACAGACGUCCACUCUCACAUGUGAACAUUCUUCUUUCUGAAGCAGUUUCUUCAGGUUAGUCAUCAGCUAUGCCCCGGUAGAGCACAGAGAAUCACAAAUCUCAGAAAAGACAGUCUUCUACAUUUCAAGCUAGUACUCCCUUGCAUCCCUGGCAGAGCAUUCGACCAAACAGACGUCCACUCUCACAUGUGAACAUUCUUCUUUCUGAAGCAGUUUCUUCAGGUUAGUCAUCAGCUAUGCCCCGGUAGAGCACAGAGAAUCACAAAUCUCAGGUAAG